rnacentral:rRNA from 1 species
AGAGUUUGAUUCUGGCUCAGAACGAACGCUGGCGGCGUGGAUAAGACAUGCAAGUCGAACGCUGAUUUGAAGGUAGCAAUAUUUUCAAGUCGGAGUGGCGCAAGGGUGCGUAACACGUGGGAAUCUGCCUUGAAGUGUGGGAUAACUCCGAGAAAUCGGAGCUAAUACCGCAUGUGAUCGAAAGAUUAAAGUUGGGGAUCGUAAGACCUGACGCUUCAAGAUGAGCCCGCGGCCUAUCAGCUAGUUGGUGAGGUAAUGGCUCACCAAGGCUAAGACGGGUAGCUGGUCUGAGAGGACGACCAGCCACACUGGAACUGAGACACGGUCCAGACACCUACGGGUGGCAGCAGUCGAGAAUUUUUCACAAUGGGCGCAAGCCUGAUGGAGCGACGCCGCGUGGGGGAUGAAUGGCUUCGGCCCGUAAACCCCUGUCAUUUGCGAACAAAUUGUUUUGCAUAACACAUAAAGCAUUGAUUGUAGCAGAAGAGGAAGGGACGGCUAACUCUGUGCCAGCAGCCGCGGUAAUACAGAGGUCCCAAGCGUUGUUCGGAUUCACUGGGCGUAAAGGGUGCGUAGGUGGCCGGGUAAGUCUGAUGUGAAAUCUCGGAGCUCAACUCCGAAACGGCAUUGGAUACUAUCCGGCUGGAGGGUCGGAGGGGGGACUGGAAUUCUCGGUGUAGCAGUGAAAUGCGUAGAUAUCGAGAGGAACACCAGUGGCGAAGGCGAGUCCCUGGACAACUCCUGACACUAAGGCACGAAAGCCAGGGGAGCAAACGGGAUUAGAUACCCCGGUAGUCCUGGCCCUAAACGGUGCACGUUUGCUG